CCACGGCACACUCUCUUGUUUGGGAGCCACGAGAUUGGCUUGCUCAACAUGAGUUGGUGGCUUCUUAGAAAGCUUUGAUCACUCUUUUGCAAACACAGGGAUCAGUGUGGCUCACUUGGGAUUCCCCAUACCAGUCCUGUGGUGAUGGACUCUGAGACACAAAUACUCUGGAAUAAGGACAAAUAAAUAGACUGAAAUGAUCCUUUCCUCGUGGCAACCCUUUUGAAUAGGAAUGUUUUCCACCAACUGCUUCUAGCAUCCAUAAAAUGAAAGAGAGCUUUGACAAGCCCCCCCACCCAAUCCAUCACCCCCUCCUUCCCCACCUGUUCUGCUCUUCAGGGCAUCAUAGGCUUCGAGCUCCACCGGCACAACCAUACUGUCAAAACGGCCCAGAUCCGUGGGGGUGAUCACACUCCUGUAAAAAAAAAGUGGGAGAGAAGACUCAUGGGUGUCUGGUGGCUCAACUCUCUGCUCAUGCAAUGCAGCUGUUUUGGGGGAAGAACAUGGCAAAUAACCAAAGAGCACCAGAAGGAAGCCAUGGUCACCCUGGGCAAGGCUGGGCUGAUGUGCGCUUCUCUCCUGUGCUCCCUCUCCCCACCCUCUGAGUUUAGGGGUGCAGUUCAGCCUCCCACAGUUUAUUGCUUCCUGUUCCUACCUGAUAUCUCUGAGGAGAAGCAACUUUUCCGGCCGGUCGAGAAUCGCCAGGAGUGGCCUCACCAGAUCUUCCACCCCACUUUCUUGGAUGUACUGUAUGUUGGAGGGAAAGUAACCAUCAGCAGAGAUCAAAUGGGAGCCCCAUCUUGCUAUUCACUUUGAAGCAGCAACAGAUCCCCGAUCCCCAUUACUACACUUUGUUGCUCUAGGCUCAGUUGAUGGGUGGGGAGUUUAAUCCUGCUUUCUGUAAGGAACUCUCUCCCAGGAUAAACAGGAUUGAACCGCCUGGGCAUCAACGGAUGGCUGGGGGGUUCAAUCCGGCUUUCUGUUGGGAUCUUCAGCUGUACCAGAUGUGAAGCACGUGUUCAUUUGGGGAACAUGGGGAGGCCUGGCAGGCCAAAACUGGGCCACAGACCAAAGGUGGUUCCCCCUCCCUGACCCAAAGCUGGACUCCUAUCCCUCAUCAAUUGCUUGGUGGGCAAUGUGUGGCCCCAGCAGCAAUCUGUUCAGAUUUCAAGAGUCAGGCUGGGAGGGGGGUGGGGACAGAGAACAAGGCAUAUCAGAGAUGCAGCGUGGUGCUGGUGUUACAGAAAGAGCGCAAGAAAAUGGGUAGCCACCCCACAUUGGGCUCUGCUUCUGCCCAUUGCUGGUUUCAGCGCUCCCAUCGUUUGUAAGUGGCCCCCAACAGAUUACUCCCAAGGGAGUGUGACCCUUGACAGGAAAAUCUAAGAGAAUACAGACAGUGGACCUAUCUGCAGACUGAGCCAUUUUAAUCAGAAUGCUAUCCUUAAACAUUUUAAUAAAGCAUUUUAAUGUUGCA